GAGACAGGUCUGGUGCCCGUGUGCGCUGGUGGUGUGUAAGGGGUGUGGUGUGAACAGGUCUGGUUGGUUGUGUGACAGGUCUGUGGUCGUGGUAAAGGGGUGUUUGUGACAGGGUCCCUGGGGUCGUGACAGGUCUGGUGGCGUGGUGAAAAGGGUUCUGGUGACAGGUCGGGUGUCGUGGUGACCAGGUAUGGUGUCGUGGUAAAGGGGGUGUGUGACAGGUCUGGUGGCGUGGUAAAGGGGUGUGUGACAGGUCUGGUGUCGUGUGACAGGUCUGGUGUCGUGAGACUGGUCUGGUGUCGUGUGACAGGUCUGGUGUCGUGUGACAGGUCUGGUGUUCUGGUAAAGGGGUGUGUGACAGGUCUGGUGUCGUGUGACAGGUCUGGUGGUCGUGGUAAAGGGGUGUGUGACAGGUCUGGGGUUGUCGUGUGAACCAGGGUCCUGGUGGCGUGGUAAAGGGGUUGUGACAGGGUCUGGUGUCGUGUGGACAG
rnacentral:lncRNA from 1 species